rnacentral:rRNA from 1 species
CACGUAGGGUGCGAGCGUUGUCCGGAAUUAUUGGGCGUAAAGAGCUCGUAGGCGGUGUGUCGCGUCGGCCGUGAAAACCUGCAGCUUAACUGUGGGCGUGCGGUCGAUACGGGCAUCACUGGAGUUCGGCAGGGGAGACUGGAAUUCCUGGUGUAGCGGUGAAAUGCGUAGAUAUCAGGAAGAACACCCGUGGCGAAGGCGGUUCUCUGGGACGGUACUGACGCUGAGACGCGAAAGCGUGGGGAGCGAACAGG